rnacentral:rRNA from 1 species
UACGAAGGGGGCUAGCGUUGCUCGGAAUUACUGGGCGUAAAGGGCGCGUAGGCGGACAGCUUAGUCAGAGGUGAAAGCCCAGGGCUCAACCUUGGAAUUGCCUUUGAUACUGGCUAUCUUGAGUUCGGGAGAGGUGAGUGGAAUGCCGAGUGUAGAGGUGAAAUUCGUAGAUAUUCGGCGGAACACCAGUGGCGAAGGCGACUCACUGGCCCGAUGCUGACGCUGAGGCGCGAAAGCGUGGGGAGCAAACAGG